rnacentral:snoRNA from 11 species
ACUGUCUGAAAAUCGCCUUUGGCCUUUUCAAUGGCUUUGGGUGAGAUAUUGGUGCCCACAGCAAAGGGAAUGUUUAGCUUAUUGCCCUCAAGCCUGAGGAGUGUGCAAUAAAACCCAUGUUCCUAUACUC